AUUGAACGCUGGCGGCAUGCUUUACACAUGCAAGUCGAACGGCAGCGGGGUAGUGCUUGCACUACUGCCGGCGAGUGGCGAACGGGUGAGUGAUAUAUCGGAACGUACCGAGUAAUGGGGGAUAACCAAUCGAAAGAUUGGCUAAUACCGCAUACGUCCUGAGGGAGAAAGCGGGGGAUCGCAAGACCUCGCGUUAUUCGAGCGGCCGAUAACUGAUUAGCUAGUUGGUGGGGUAAAGGCCUACCAAGGCGACGAUCAGUAGCGGGUCUGAGAGGACGAUCCGCCACACUGGGACUGAGACACGGCCCAGACUCCUACGGGAGGCAGCAGUGGGGAAUUUUGGACAAUGGGGGCAACCCUGAUCCAGCCAUGCCGCGUGUAUGAAGAAGGCCUUCGGGUUGUAAAGUACUUUUGUUAGGGAAGAAAAGGGAAGUGCUAAUACCACUUUUUGCUGACGGUACCUAAAGAAUAAGCACCGGCUAACUACGUGCCAGCAGCCGCGGUAAUACGUAGGGUGCGAGCGUUAAUCGGAAUUACUGGGCGUAAAGCGAGCGCAGGCGGUUAUUUAAGCAGGAUGUGAAAUCCCCGGGCUCAACCUGGGAACUGCGUUCUGAACUGGAUAGCUAGAGUGUGUCAGAGGGGGGUAGAAUUCCACGUGUAGCAGUGAAAUGCGUAGAGAUGUGGAGGAAUACCGAUGGCGAAGGCAGCCCCCUGGGAUAACACUGACGUUCAUGCUCGAAAGCGUGGGUAGCAAACAGG
rnacentral:rRNA from 1 species